rnacentral:lncRNA from 1 species
ACCUGCAUCUGCCAACAAGACUGGAAGCAGGUGAGGCACACAGAGGGGGAGGCCCGCAGCUGCGUGGGAGGAGGGGUGGUCUGAGGGACGUGGGAUGCCGGGAAAGAGGCUGGUUUGCAGGUUGGCGCAUGGACAUUUUCCCAGAAAGGGACAGAGACGGCGAAGUUUGACGGUCUGGAAAGCAGAGACCAGCAGGGCUGACUGCUUGGGAGCACCAAUUAUCCGGACAGCGCCUCUCGGGAGGUCCGAGAAGAGAACCGCGAUCUGUUUCAGCACCGGGGCUCAGGACAGUUCCCAGCGGGCUCCGUUUCGGCUCCAGAACCCUGGACAGCUCCUCCAGCUUGGAAUGCACUCCCUCCACCUCCACCCAGAGCUCCCCACAACUGACCCUGCCUUCUCCUGCAAGCUCCAUUUCAUCAAGGGAAAGGAUCCUUAUUGCCUCACCAUUUCCCACGUGAAGUCUGUAUUGACAUUCUCACAGACCUGGGAUAUUGUGUCUGCAGCACAUACUCCAAUUAUUUUCAUGUUAUCUACUGACAGGUCUAUUUGUCUCCCUGUUACACUGUGAGCUCCGUGAGGGCAGAAACAAUGUUAGUAUUUUCACUGCUGUGUCCCCAGUGCCUGGUCCGGGGCCCGGCACACAGCAGGCAUAUAAUAAGCAUGUGUUGAAUCAAUAAAGGCAUCAAAGAAUAAACCAAUACAUCAAUCAA